rnacentral:lncRNA from 1 species
GCGGAUUAAAACAGACAGAAAUGUGGUGCUCACCAGUCCCAACCCAGUGACCCUAAAAAUGAGUUGGGAAGUGGAUUGGAGGGACCUGAGGCAGCAUUUUUCUUCCAGGCAUUUGUAGUCUGGAUUCAUUAACUGAGAUACAAGCAAUAUCUGGGCUUCCACGUUAUUCAAAUGAGGUAAACGCUGAACUUGUCUCUCACUUUCACGUUCUGCUAAAGAGGGAUGUCUCCUCUGCAAAAGCAGCUCCAGACCUGCAGACUCUGCUCAGCCGUGACAUUGCUACUGUCACAAAUGCUACACUUUAUAGUUCCUGUUUCCCUUCAUCCUCACAUUGUUUUAUAUUCCACAACUUUGCUGCUUUUGGAAGACUGAAAAGCACUGCAAGAGGGAGUGAAAUGCUACAUUGAAAAAAAAAAGGCAAGUGCAAGCACAUAAGUUUGCCUGGAAAUUCAGAUUUAGGGAUACUUUCUUGCCAUUCCCAGCCUAAACACCUUGAAGCAUCAAAACCUCUGCACUGACACUCUCUUAAAUCACCAUUUUGAAAACCAAGAUGAUUUUUGAAGUUUCCAAAGACCAGAAAAG